AGGCUUAGAUAGAUCAGAUGGCUCGAUCUCCAUGCUCGCGUGCAUGAGGGAUUGUCCACUUUGGCCUAGACUCGUGACAGGUAUCAUAUUGGUGUUACAUAUGUGUCCUAGAAGUCAAUUAUUGACUGACAUAUUUUAUAAUUUUAGAACUUAUUUUUAUGCUUAUAAAAUUUUUAUUAUUAAUAAAAAUAAUUUUUAUUUUUAAUCA
rnacentral:lncRNA from 1 species